rnacentral:rRNA from 1 species
GAAAUGCGAUAAGUAAUGUGAAUUGCAGAAUUCAGUGAAUCAUCGAAUCUUUGAACGCACCUUGCGCCCUUUGGUAUUCCGAAGGGCACACCUGUUUGAGUGUCGUGAAAUUCUCAACCCUCUUCGYUUUUUUUSCGAACGUAGGGAUUGGACUUGGAGGCUUUUGCCGGGCUGCUUCUUGUCGCYCGGCUCCUCUCAAAUGCAUUAGUGCGUCUUGUUGCGACGUGCGCCUCGGUGUGAUAAUUAUCUACGCUGUGGUGUGCUUGCUUCUUUGGAGACACGCUUCCGAACCGUCCGAAAGGACAGCUUUCAUCGAACUUUGACCUCAAAUCAGGUGGGACUACCCGCUGAACUUAA